GGGGGCGUUCUGGUUUCGACGGGGGUGGAUGAGGUAGAGACUGCGCGCCGAGGUCCCAGUGGCUCGUAAAACAAUUGGGAAAAAGUUUAACUGCAGACGACUAUUCGUAUGCAAUGGCGGCCUAAUUAGUUAGGCCUCCCGUCCCGCCUGGCCCCGUCCGCAGGGCUGGACCGGGGCGUCAUCUCUUGCGGACUGGUUGAUGGCCCCUGGCCCGGGGGCCGCCGACGAGAGCUGGAGGGCUGGUCCUUCGUUGACCCUGUCCGCCGGGGCGACGGGGGGUGAGAUCAAAUGACGGACUAUGCGCGUAGAGGUCUCCGCUGAAAUGCCUUCGGACGCGGGUUCGAUUCCCGCCGCCUCCACCA
rnacentral:tmRNA from 1 species